UACGUAGGGGGCAAGCGUUGUCCGGAUUUAUUGGGCGUAAAGAGCGUGUAGGCGGUCAGGUAGGUCCGUUGUGAAAACUCGAGGCUCAACCUCGAGACGCCGAUGGAAACCAUCUGACUAGAGUCCGGAAGAGGAGAGUGGAAUUCCUGGUGUAGCGGUGAAAUGCGCAGAUAUUAGGAAGAACACCCGUGGCUAAGGCGGCUCUCUAGUACGGUACUGACGCUGAGACGCGAAAGCGUGGGGAGCGAACAGG
rnacentral:rRNA from 1 species